rnacentral:rRNA from 1 species
GGGUUGUGAGGUUAAGCGACUAAGCGUACACGGUGGAUGCCCUGGCAGUCAGAGGCGAUGAAGGACGUGCUAAUCUGCGAAAAGCGUCGGUAAGGUGAUAUGAACCGUUAUAACCGGCGAUGUCCGAAUGGGGAAACCCAGUGCAAUUCGUUGCACUAUCGUUAACUGAAUACAUAGGUUAACGAGGCGAACCGGGGGAACUGAAACAUCUAAGUACCCCGAGGAAAAGAAAUCAACCGAGAUUCCCCCAGUAGCGGCGAGCGAACGGGGAGCAGCCCAGAGUCUGAAUCAGCUUGUGUGUUAGUGGAACGGUCUGGAAAGUCCGACGGUACAGGGUGAUAGUCCCGUACACCAAAAUGCACAGGUUGUGAACUCGAAGAGUAGGGCGGGACACGUGGUAUCCUGUCUGAAUAUGGGGGGACCAUCCUCCAAGGCUAAAUACUCCUGACUGACCGAUAGUGAACCAGUACCGUGAGGGAAAGGCGAAAAGAACCCCGGCGAGGGGAGUGAAAAAGAACCUGAAACCGUGUACGUACAAGCAGUGGGAGCACCUUCGGGUGUGACUGCGUACCUUUUGUAUAAUGGGUCAGCGACUUAUAUUCUGUAGCAAGGUUAACCGUAUAGGGGAGCCGCAGGGAAACCGAGUCUUAACUGGGCGUUAAGUUGCAGGGUAUAGACCCGAAACCCGGUGAUCUAGCCAUGGGCAGGUUGAAGGUUGGGUAACACUAACUGGAGGACCGAACCGACUAAUGUUGAAAAAUUAGCGGAUGACUUGUGGCUGGGGGUGAAAGGCCAAUCAAACCGGGAGAUAGCUGGUUCUCCCCGAAAGCUAUUUAGGUAGCGCCUCGUGAAUUCAUCUUCGGGGGUAGAGCACUGUUUCGGCUAGGGGGUCAUCCCGACUUACCAACCCGAUGCAAACUACGAAUACCGAAGAAUGUUAUCACGGGAGACACACGGCGGGUGCUAACGUCCGUCGUGAAGAGGGAAACAACCCAGACCGCCAGCUAAGGUCCCAAAGUCAUGGUUAAGUGGGAAACGAUGUGGGAAGGCACAGACAGCCAGGAUGUUGGCUUAGAAGCAGCCAUCAUUUAAAGAAAGCGUAAUAGCUCACUGGUCAAGUCGGCCUGCGCGGAAGAUGUAACGGGGCUAAACCAUGCACCGAAGCUGCGGCAGCGACACUAUGUGUUGUUGGGUAGGGGAGCGUUCUGUAAGCCUGCGAAGGUGACCUGUGAGGGUUGCUGGAGGUAUCAGAAGUGCGAAUGCUGACAUAAGUAACGAUAAAGCGGGUGAAAAGCCCGCUCGCCGGAAGACCAAGGGUUCCUGUCCAACGUUAAUCGGGGCAGGGUGAGUCGACCCCUAAGGCGAGGCCGAAAGGCGUAGUCGAUGGGAAACAGGUUAAUAUUCCUGUACUUGGUGUUACUGCGAAGGGGGGACGGAGAAGGCUAUGUUAGCCGGGCGACGGUUGUCCCGGUUUAAGCAUGUAGGCUGGUUAUCCAGGCAAAUCCGGAUAAUCAAGGCUGAGGUGUGAUGACGAGGCACUACGGUGCUGAAGUAACAAAUGCCCUGCUUCCAGGAAAAGCCUCUAAGCAUCAGGUAACAUCAAAUCGUACCCCAAACCGACACAGGUGGUCAGGUAGAGAAUACCAAGGCGCUUGAGAGAACUCGGGUGAAGGAACUAGGCAAAAUGGUGCCGUAACUUCGGGAGAAGGCACGCUGGUGUGUAGGUGAAGUCCCUGCGGAUGGAGCUGAGACCAGUCGAAGAUACCAGCUGGCUGCAACUGUUUAUUAAAAACACAGCACUGUGCAAACACGAAAGUGGACGUAUACGGUGUGACGCCUGCCCGGUGCCGGAAGGUUAAUUGAUGGGGUUAUCCGUAAGGAGAAGCUCUUGAUCGAAGCCCCGGUAAACGGCGGCCGUAACUAUAACGGUCCUAAGGUAGCGAAAUUCCUUGUCGGGUAAGUUCCGACCUGCACGAAUGGCGUAAUGAUGGCCAGGCUGUCUCCACCCGAGACUCAGUGAAAUUGAACUCGCUGUGAAGAUGCAGUGUACCCGCGGCAAGACGGAAAGACCCCGUGAACCUUUACUAUAGCUUGACACUGAAUAUUGAGCCUUGAUGUGUAGGAUAGGUGGGAGGCUUUGAAGCGUGGACGCCAGUCUGCGUGGAGCCAACCUUGAAAUACCACCCUUUAAUGUUUGAUGUUCUAACGUUGGCCCCUUACCGGGGUUGCGGACAGUGUCUGGUGGGUAGUUUGACUGGGGCGGUCUCCUCCCAAAGCGUAACGGAGGAGCACGAAGGUUAGCUAAUCCUGGUCGGACAUCAGGAGGUUAGUGCAAUGGCAUAAGCUAGCUUGACUGCGAGCGUGACGGCGCGAGCAGGUGCGAAAGCAGGUCAUAGUGAUCCGGUGGUUCUGAAUGGAAGGGCCAUCGCUCAACGGAUAAAAGGUACUCCGGGGAUAACAGGCUGAUACCGCCCAAGAGUUCAUAUCGACGGCGGUGUUUGGCACCUCGAUGUCGGCUCAUCACAUCCUGGGGCUGAAGUAGGUCCCAAGGGUAUGGCUGUUCGCCAUUUAAAGUGGUACGCGAGCUGGGUUUAGAACGUCGUGAGACAGUUCGGUCCCUAUCUGCCGUGGGCGCUGGAGAAUUGAGGGGGGCUGCUCCUAGUACGAGAGGACCGGAGUGGACGCAUCACUGGUGUUCGGGUUGUCAUGCCAAUGGCACUGCCCGGUAGCUAAAUGCGGAAGAGAUAAGUGCUGAAAGCAUCUAAGCACGAAACUUGCCCCGAGAUGAGUUCUCCCUGAGACUUUAAGUCUCCUGAAGGAACGUUAAAGACGAUGACGUUGAUAGGCCGGGUGUGUAAGCGCAGCGAUGCGUUGAGCUAACCGGUACUAAUGAACCGUGAGGCUUAACCUUACAACGCCGAAG